CUUGGCCUCUUUGGGGGGGGGGGGGUCCUGCAUUUUGAGAAAUAUUUAAUAUUUAAAGUAAAAAACACUCAUUUGGGGGCCCCACUUAAUUAAGGGCCCUGGGGUAUGUUCAAAAUCUCCCCCCUUCUCAUCCCACCCUAGCUACGCCACUGCGUCCCUGGUAUGAUGGAUCAUUAGGAUCCAGGAAUACAAGACAAAGGUUAGCAUAUAACAAAAACAACUAAUAGAUAAUUUCAGGAAAAAUAUGCACGUGCACACAAUACAUUAAUGUUUUACUUCACACACACAUAUGCACGCGGAGAGAGGGGUAGGUUAGGUGUGGAUACACAAUAAGAGAACAUUAUGUAUUUACCUUAAAAUCUUCCCUUCAGUCAAUAUCACAUGUAUUAUAUCAGAUUUCAUCU